ensembl:lncRNA
UACAAUUCGGGCCUCUGCGCAGAUGCAUGCUUUGUUAUUGCUCUACACAUUGGAGGUCUAUAAAGCAGAUCUGUAGUUAUGGUGUGACUUGACAUGCCCAGCAUAGUGCAGGCCUGCAGAGAUUAACUGAUUUUAUCCAUCUCCUUCCUGGAGCUUCUCUGUUGUGAGGCCCUUUGGAUUUCAUUUGCCUGCUAAAAGGUGCAAUUGCUGAUCUGGCCACUGAGGAAUCAUCAUCAGCGCAUCUCCUGGCAAAGCAAAGCACCUCCUUCCAGAAAAGCUGGUCCAAGAGAGAAGCCGUGUGCUGAGUCAGCCUGGCAGCUGUAUUUCCUGCUCCAGUUCUCUCCUUCUGCAUGAUUCACUCCAGUUCCCUGCCAGGAAGCCUUGGUCCUGGGUGAGACAGUGAGAGGCAGAGGGAUGCUCCUGCUGUCCUGCACCAGGAUAUUGGAGACCAGCUCCUGUGUGUCCUGGCUGCCCCGCAAGUAAUGUUGGUGCUGCAAGGAAAGUGAUACUAGGAUUGUCCUCCAGGAGUUGUUGAGGAAACUCCUCUGCCUGCAUUCCUGUUUAUCAGAGACUCCUUCCCAGCGUGCCAGCCCAUGCACAAAGCCUUCAGCAUCCUCAGCUGUGGGACAUGUGAACAGACACAGCUCCUCCCUCCGGCACAAUGGCACUCUCUUCCCUGCUCAGGACAGCGUGCCACGUCGGUCAGUUCCUCAAGAGCUUUGGUUCUCAGAAUUGAGUUAAAUCAGGCCUAAGCUGGACUCUGAGCCCUCCUUGAGAUAUUUUGACAGAGAAAUGUAUGCCUUGAAACGACUUGAAAAGAACUGUAGGGAGGGAGGAGAGCAGGAAAAAGCAUCGGCUGUGAGCGGCUGCCCUCUCCCGAGAUCUCUCCCCCUGCAAAGAGUGCAGCCUUGGCUCCUCUGUGACCUCUUUCUUCCUGCAGGGUAAUGAAAGUCAGCUCACUGUAAUGGCAGGCUGAAAGUCAGCUGCUCUGCCACAGGGUUAGUCCUCCGGAUAGAUGAAAGGAAAGUGGUUUGAUGUCCAAACGACUGUCACAGCUUUAAAGAAGAAUUAAAGCCAGAUGUUUCCAACCAGCCUGCUGAGAACAGCCUUUUCUGACAUAUUUGCCAAACCACCAAGGAGACCCAGCCAGUGCCUGCAGCGCUGCAUGUUGGGAAAGCACUGAUCCCAAAGGCUGUGCUGCAGUUGCUGGAGCACCCUGGCUGUCCGGAAUGAGCGCACCCGCAGGGCUGGGGCAG